UAGGGAAUCUUCGGCAAUGGACGAAAGUCUGACCGAGCAACGCCGCGUGAGUGAAGAAGGUUUUCGGAUCGUAAAACUCUGUUGUUAGAGAAGAACAAGGACGUUAGUAACUGAACGUCCCCUGACGGUAUCUAACCAGAAAGCCACGGCUAACUACGUGCCAGCAGCCGCGGUAAUACGUAGGUGGCAAGCGUUGUCCGGAUUUAUUGGGCGUAAAGCGAGCGCAGGCGGUUUCUUAAGUCUGAUGUGAAAGCCCCCGGCUCAACCGGGGAGGGUCAUUGGCAACUGGGGGACUUGAGUGCAGAAGAGGAGAGUGGAAUUCCAUGUGUAGCGGUGAAAUGCGUAGAUAUAUGGAGGAACACCAGUGGCGAAGGCGGCUCUCUGGUCUGUAACUGACGCUGAGGCUCGAAAGCGUGGGGAGCAAACAGG
rnacentral:rRNA from 1 species